UCUUUUCUUUUCCUUUUUAUUAGUUGAGUGCAGAUGAUGUCCAUUUUUAUUGGUAAAUCUAUGCAUUAGUGGCUAGCUGAAUUCACAACUCUCAUAUCAGAUAAUCAUCCAUGGACAAAAUCUCUUCCAACAGGUGAAAUCACUUGAAGGGUAGUUGAGAGAAUUUGAUAACCAGUUAGAGCUUAUGAAGGCCUUUGUUGAAGCAAGUCAGGAGCAGUGGCAUUUGCUAUCUUCUAAAAUCAAUGACUUGGAAAGUGUAAAUGAUGAUAUAAAGAAAUAUGAAAUGUAUGGCUUAGUUCUUUUUUCUCUUUUUUCUUUUUGUGAAUGAGUUUAGAAGAUAUGAUAGGUGAGGCCCAUUGUUUUUGUGAUGCCCACCUAUCAUAUAUAGAUUUAAAAUUCAGAUACGAGACCAUUAUUAUAAUUUUUAUUAGGGAAUGUACUGGUAAGAGACACCCUGCAUUAUUAUAA